rnacentral:pre_miRNA from 11 species
CAUCGAGCAACUUGGUUGGCCACGCGUAUUCUUGGGUUAUUAACACACUGUUUAUGUUGUUAUUGCUUGAGAAUACACGUAGUUGACAAGUGUUUCACAUC